GGUUCAUUCAAAUUUCUGCCCUAUCAACUUUCGAUGGUAAGGUAUUGGCUUACCAUGGUUUCAACGGGUAACGGGGAAUAGGGUUCGAUUCCGGAGAGGGAGCCUGAGAAACGGCUACCACAUCCAAGGAAGGCAGCAGGCGCGCAAAUUACCCAAUCCCGACCGGGGAGGUAGUGACAAUAAAUACUGAUACAGGGCUCUUUUGGGUCUUGUAAUUGGAAUGAGUACAAUUUAAACCUCUUAACGAGGAACAAUUGGAGGGCAAGUCUGGUGCCAGCAGCGGGUAAUUCCAGCUCCAAUAGCGUAUAUUAAAGUUGUUGCAGUUAAAAAGCUCGUAGUUG
rnacentral:rRNA from 1 species